AUUGUAUUGCAGGUCAAGAUUCUGAGCUAAAAAAGGCUUUGGGGUCAGUUGCAGCUAGUCAACAAUUGUCCCUGUUGAUAGUAUUAGAUGGAUGCCUCAUGGUAGAGGAGUCAUAAAAUUCAACAGUGAUGCCAGUUGGAAGGAGGGAAGCAACCAAUCUGCCAUUGUUGUGGCAGCUCGGAAUCAUCAAAGCCUUUUGCUCGAUGGAGUAGCAAAGAAAUUUCAGUAUAAUUCUCCUUUAGUAGCGGAAGCUAAAGCAAUGCUAGAAGCCAUUUCUUUGGCCAGGGACAUGGGUUCUACAACAAUUGUGCUAGAAACAGAUUCCCAGAUUCUGUUCUCUGCUCUAUCAACAUCCAUGGAAGAUAUAGGGUGGGAUAUAAGGCAGCUGUUCAGGGCAUUAAGGCUUUUUUCCCUUUGUUUUCACAGAUCUCAUUGUCAAAGACUAGUAGGAAAACAAAUCAAG
rnacentral:misc_RNA from 1 species